GGAAACAGAUCAGAAAUUCAUCGUGAAAUAUGUAGUACAUGUCUCCACGGAUGUUGCGACUGGCCAGAAUUCGGAACCGCCCCAGGCCUGCCUCCCGACCGAGCCACCAUCUCAGGUACAAGGGGAGGUGGCGGGCUCCCCGCGCAGAGCACGGGGAGGAGGGGCAGUGGGCGCAGCACCGCUUCAGGCCCCUGUCCCCACCGCGCUCCGAGCCGGCGCGGUCACCGGCCCCACCUCCUGGGCGGGAGUGGGGUGCCCUCCGGGACGCGAAUCCCCCAGCCCCGCGCCUCAGCAGCCGCGGCAGCCAGGCCGGAAGCGCCGGCGCACACGCGGAGGUCGGUCGCGCUCCCAGCUGCGCCAGCUCUCGGUCCUGGCGCUCAGGGCCUCUCCGCGCGGCGCCCUCCCCACGGCCGCUCCUGCGCGCACAGGGCGCCGGCCAGCCCUGAACUUUGGGGAAUGAAAGCGCGGGGAAAGGGGGCCGUGCGGGCGGGGAGACCUGUCCGCACGUCCCGGCCCCAGCCCGGGGAGGGGUCGCCAGCCUCGCGGGGUGGCCGGGGCACCCACCUGCCGAGCGGAAAGUCCCUGGAGAGCUCGAAGCGGCCGCGGGAGCCGGGCCCGCCCUCCGCGGGAGGGACCUCGGCGCCUAGAACGACGAAGACAGGCCGCACUUACUUGUUUGUGCAGCGCCGGCUUCACCUGGUCGCGAGUUUGAUUUCAGGGUGUGGCCUCAGGGUAACACUGAGGCCUGACCUCAUGAGCCAACCCCUGAUCUCCUGUGGCCUGCUCCCUCCAGGAAGCUGCCUGCUGAGCCUAGGUUGAUGGGACCAUGUGGCAGGGCAGGGGCAGCUGGUACACACGUAUGGCUUUCCCCACAGAUUAAGUACCUAGCGAUGUAGGAGCACUGGCUGACUGCUGGCUACUGGAAGCAGGGUGUGCUGGGUGGGAGGGUUCGGGGAAGUGGUUGUGGGGGAUUUGAAAUGAACGGUGAGCCAAGCUAGAAUGAACUGCGCUGCGUUGUUGAACCUAGAAUCAACACCCUAAAAGAUUUUUUCCUGACUCACAAAUGCACGCGUGAAUUAUUUUCUUUUAAUACAAAUAACUUCUAUACCCAAACCAGAGCCCCAAGCAGUUUGAACUGUUGAGCUACAAUAAAGUGUGGGCAUUAGAAUAUUA